UUAUUUCAUCAAUUCAUAUUCAAUUCCUCAUUAGCCCCUUGGUCCAUAUAUAUAUAUAUAUAUCAAUGACGUCAUCGAUCAACCAUGGCCAUGGUCACCAGCUUGAGGUUACUGUCGUAGGAUGAGACAUACUUUCGGGAUCAAAUUGUGUUUCGUUGAGCCAUGAUCCCUUGUAUGUCUGUUUUCAAUGGGCAAAACCUACAUUACAAUACCAAGUCAAGAUGGAGGAAUGAAUGGCUCUUUUUCAAAUAAGUUAGAUUUCCCACUAAUUGAAGGCCAAAAUGAGCUUAAAUUCGUGGUUUGGAAGAAUAUUCAUACUAAUUUCAUUUACGAUGAUUUUAUGGGCAGUGGCAGG